GCAAGUCGAGGGGUAACAGGAUAGCUUGCUAUUGCUGACGACCGGCGCACGGGUGCGUAACGCGUAUAGAACCUACCUUUUACUAAGGGAUAGCCCAGAGAAAUUUGGAUUAAUACCUUAUGGUAUUAUUGAAUGGCAUCAUUUAAUAAUUAAAGAUUUAUUGGUAAAAGAUGGCUAUGCGUUCUAUUAGUUAGUUGGUAAGGUAACGGCUUACCAUGACUGUGAUAGGUAGGGGUCCUGAGAGGGAGAUC
rnacentral:rRNA from 1 species